rnacentral:RNase_P_RNA from 2 species
CUCGGAGGAAGCUCUCUGUAGAGGCCAUGUGCUGGGUGUCCAUCACCCUUUGUCCCGCCUCUGGGAAGGUCUGAGAGAAGGGCCAAGUUUGCCACCCUAGCAGGGUGCCACCUUCUAAAGGUGAGUGAGUUCCCAGCAAUGCGGGUCUCCGAUCCAGCCCUAGAAUUUGAGGCAGGAGAAGUGGUGAGGGGCCCUCGG